rnacentral:snRNA from 10 species
AUACUUACCUGACGAGGACCAUAAUGGGAUCAGGCAGCCAGUGGGUCCAGGGCGAGGCUUUGCCAUUGCACGUUUUCUCGUCGUCGCACAGCCGUAUAAAUAUAUAUGGGUGGUGGUGGUCGUAGAUUAGUAUAUUAGGGUGGUGGUCGUAGAUCUAUAUAGGGAGGUGGUUUUGCCUCGGGUGGUCCAGCC